rnacentral:rRNA from 1 species
UACAGAGGGGGCAAGCGUUGUCCGGACUUACUGGGUGUAAAGCGCAUGCAGGUGGCUGUGCAAGUGUGCUGUGAAAGCCCCGUGCUUAACACGGGGAGGCCAGUACAGACUGCACGGCUCGAGGACUGCAGAGGGUAGGGGAAUUGCUGGUGUAGUGGUGAAAUGCGUAGAGAUCAGCAGGAACACCAAGGACGAAGGUACCUACCUGGGCAGUAACUGACACUCAAGUGCGACCGCGUGGGGAGCGAACCGG